rnacentral:misc_RNA from 1 species
GAUGAAGAACGCAGCGAAAUGCGAUAAGUAGUGUGAAUUGCAGAAUUCAGUGAAUCAUCGAAUCUUUGAACGCACAUUGCGCCCUUUGGUAUUCCAAAGGGCAUGCCUGUUCGAGCGUCAUUUGUACCCUCAAGCUUUGCUUGGUGUUGGGCGUCUUGUCUCUAGCUUUGCUGGAGACUCGCCUUAAAGUAAUUGGCAGCCGGCCUACUGGUUUCGGAGCGCAGCACAAGUCGCACUCUCUAUCAGCAAAGGUCUAGCAUCCAUUAAGCCUUUUUUUCAGCUUUUGACCUCGGAUCAGGUAGGGAUACCCGCUGAACUUAAGCAUAUCAAUAAGCGGAGGA